rnacentral:tRNA from 1 species
GCUUUAAUAAUUUAAUAAAAAUAGUAGAUUUGUAAUCUAAAGUUAGGAAAUCCCUUUGAAGCU